GGGUGAUUUGGAGUUAAUAUGAAUUUGUAAGAGCUUUGCAAAGUUGAGUUUUUUUUAGAUGACUUGGGUUUUAUGAAAUAAAAUAGGGUUUAUGUUUUGAGUGAUUUUGAGAGUCUUAUGUAGAUCUAUGGGUGAAUUUUUUUGGGUUCAUGGUUAUAGUUGUGCUGAAUACAUGUUGUGAAUUUGAGCUUGAUCUAACGGUUGAACUGAGAGAUAUUGAGGUUUAAGUGAGUCAAGGUCU
rnacentral:lncRNA from 1 species